rnacentral:rRNA from 1 species
CCGCCGCGGUAAGACAUGCAAGUCGAGCGAGGACUUCGGUCCUAGCGGCGGACGGGUGAGUAACGCGUGGGAACGUGCCCUUUGCUACGGAAUAGCCCUGGGAAACUGGGAGUAAUACCGUAUGUGCCCUUCGGGGGAAAGAUUUAUCGGCAAAGGAUCGGCCCGCGUUGGAUUAGGUAGUUGGUGGGGUAAUGGCCUACCAAGCCGACGAUCCAUAGCUGGUUUGAGAGGAUGAUCAGCCACACUGGGACUGAGACACGGCCCAGACUCCUCCGGGAGGCAGCAGUGGGGAAUCUUAGACAAUGGGGGAAACCCUGAUCUAGCCAUGCCGCGUGAGCGAUGAAGGCCUUAGGGUUGUCAAGCUCUUUCAGUGGGGAAGAUAAUGACGGUACCCACAGAAGAAGCCCCGGCUAACUCCGUGCCAGCAGCCGCAGUAAGAC